GUGCGCUGCCGCCGGCCGGGGACGGCCGCCCGCACGGCGAACCCCGCCGCAAAAUGGAGGGGAUUGAGGGCUCGGUGCUAAGCUGCUUCUCGAGGGAGGUGAUGGGAAGCCUUGCUCAGAGCUACGGCCUGCAGAGCGCGCGGGGGAACGAAUCCUUCCUUUAGGAUAUCUGUUUUUCCCUCAGCUCCUGCCCGGAGCCCAGGCGAGCACAUUCGGUGCGGGUGCGAGAUAAGAACCGAGCAGAGCUGAAAUCGGGGCCACGCCAGGGAAGGAAAAAAGAAGAUACUGAGAGAUUUCAGCAACAAACCUCGGGAGGCACAAAAAGCCCGCUGCCUCCAAGCUGCACCUUUUCAAAGCUUAUCUCCAUACCUCCACUGGCAGAUUUUGUUGUGACCAAAAACAAGAUGUCAGUCAAAACCUUCACCACCACUACUUGGGAGGACGUUAAGCACUAAUUCCUGAUGAGGAGCAAUCCCUGACUGACAACAGUCUCUUGGGAAACGCCAGGGAAGGAAGGACAGCCUCCCAGAGCUGCUUACAAGCUCCCUGUGUGAUGAGAGGCUGCAAACACACACACAUGGACAGCAAGCCCUGUGUUUGGAAGUUAAAUAUCUUCCAGAGCACUUUCCUGGCCUGUUUUCAACGACCUUGGAGGCUGCACCUACCAGAGCAUGGCUCUCUCAUGGGCCCAUGCGCAGGGGUGCCCAUAUCAGCACCCACAUCAGGACCUACUGACACGGAUGUGAUAGAAUUUCCUUAGCGUUGGCGGUCCAAACCAUCAGACUUUCACUAAAAGAGGUGGACUAGAAUAAGAAAAGCUGAGCAUUUCUACACAGCAGAAAAUAACUUGCUUGUUUAUUUUCUGAACCGCAACAAGGGACAAAAAAAAAAAAAAGACAGAAAUUAAGCAUGAAGAAUACCAGCGUAUCUUAAUGGAAAUCAAUGAUUUAGGCUGGCAUUACAAAAGCUGUAAAAAGGCAAAACAAAAC
ensembl:lncRNA